AGAAACAUUAGCCCAAGCACAUUUGUUCAAGAACCAAAAAUAGAAAGGGAUGAGAAAGUCCAGAAUGCGCGCUACUUUAAAUUGAAUACCCACCGUCUCCACCACGUCGGCGUCGCCUCCGGUAGUGGCGGAGAAACCAUAAUGAAUAAUGAAUCACAUCAGAAUUCUCCUCUCUUUAUCCUAAGCUCGAAUUCGGUAAUGAAAAGUUCAGAACAAAAGCAACGAAGUUGGAUGGAUGUUUUCCUUCGAAGAACCCUAAGCUUCAAAAAUUAAAUUAAAUGAUGAUGGUGAGCUUCUUCUGGCAAUUGUUUGAGGGUUUUUGAUCCACGAAGCAUGCACAACAUCUUGGUAACUUCAGCUUGAGGAAUGGAUGAAGAUGAAACUUCCGGCACGGUGGUUAUGGUGAAUAUAAGCUGAAGAAGAUGAGCUUUGAACAGGAAUGAUUUGUUUGUUUUUGAUCUCUCUUUCUCUUAUGCUUGCUUAUUCUUCUUCUGGUGUGAGAUUCUGAUUAGAGGAACUCGUGGAUGAAUUAAAUGUUAAUUUAGUGAGGUUAUAGAGAUUUAGGUUGAGAGUGAGAGGGAGAAUUUUGGCUGAGUGAGUGGAUUGGUUGUGAUAAAUAGACUGGUUUUGUUUUUGAACUGGUUUGGUUUGUCAUUAUUUUGCAGGGCUUGGCUCUUGACUGCAUUGCCAAUGUGUUGCAGUUGUUGUUUUGCUGCAUUGUCAUGGAAUAUUGUUAACUUAGGCUGCCAAAUUGAAACAGGAUGGUAAUGUAUGGCAAGGUCUAUUGUUGGUUUGAUUGAGCAUUUAUGGGACUGAUUUGCAGGUUUGAUAUGGUUGUUGGAUGUGUUGUUGUGACUGUAUUGUCAUGAUAUAUUGCUGCAUAUUGGUUGUGUUCAUGUUAGCUUGGCCUUGGUGACAUUGCUUGAUAUUGUUUGGUGCAUUACAGGCUUUGAAGCCCAUUACCAUUGAUGCAGUUAUGUGUUGCAGGAUUAAGUGUGCAUGGCAUUGUUGUUGUUCUUAAGAAUUGAGGAUUGCUACAGGAUAAUUGAUGUUGUUGCUGACCUGUUACAGGACUGCAUUGUUGUAAUUAUUGUUGCAAGAUCAUGUUGUAGGUUACUUGGACAGCUUGGUGCAGGCUUGCUAUGCAUUGAUGGACACUCUAAAUUAAGAGAAAGUAGGCAAACCUCCAUGGCCAUAUGCAAAGCAAACUUACUUGAAAUGGAAACACUCUUAAAUGGAAGGUUACAUGAUGUGAUGUAAUGAAGCAUGAAGAAUGAAAGAUGAUGUUAUGAAUUUUAGAAUCUUGAGAAAAAGUGUGUUGACUUUGGUCAAAGUUUACCAAAAAGUCAAUUGUUGACCAAAGUCAACCUUAGUCAAAAGUUGUAUUUUUUCCAAUUUUCUUUUGUAAAAUAAUGUAAUCGGCAUUUGUAUGCAUGGAUCUUCUUGUAACAUGCCUUUUUGAAUGUAAUGAAUAAUGUUUUAAUUGGCUACUAAAA